GUCAUGAAUACUUCAAGAUAUCACCAGUUACAAGCUCAUAUGGAUCUGAAUAUGAUGUAGGACUAUACCUAAGAAGUGUUUGUCAGCCACCAUUAUGAAGAUGUCGAAAGAUCACCAGUAACAAGCUCAUAAUGAUCUGAAUAUGGUAAAGGCCUAUAACUUAAAAGGGCCAGUAGUUCCUGGAGAUCAACUGCCUUGGGCAAACAUCAGUAUCAUCAAGACAUCAGAGCAGCUCAUCUGUGGAUCAU